CGCUGCCCGCGCUAUCUUGUCCCAGAAACAGCYGAGCAAGAAGCAGCAGCCCUGCUGUGCAAUGCCCAAGAAAUACAGGCUGGAGCAGAACUCGCCGUCCUGUGAGCUGGCAACAAGGAAUGAAGAUUGCAAAACCUGCAUACUUGGAGAAAGUGAGGAAUGAAUUCCGGCAGCCAGGAUUGUUUGUCCACUUUAAAAAAAACUCUUAAAUUUUCAUGGGAAUCUCCAGAGUAGCAGGCUAUCUGUGAAGGAACAGCAUUUUCUCCUACAAAAGAUAGGCUAAAAAUCCAGCAAAACCCAAACUGAGAGUCUCCUUUCCCCAAAAGGCAGAAUGUUCUCGGUGACAAGGAGGUAAAAUACAGAUUUAUUGUGACAUAAYGUAAAUAUUCAAAGAGAGCUCGUGUCUGCGGCUGUUAGUUACGUUGGCAGCUGAAGAUCUGGACAUUCAGGUUGUCAACRUGAUAAACGUUGUUGACAUCAGCGUGACCCUCAGGAACCUUCUCGGUCCUGACGGAUCCGUGUUUUCUAAUGGAAUAAACCAUCCAUCAGAGAGAA